rnacentral:rRNA from 1 species
GACCUGCGGAGGAUCAUUAACCUUUCAAAUCAGGGUGCGGCGCGGCCCCCGAGGAGCGGAAACAAUCCUUGGGAGGUAUGCGGGGGCUUCGAGCCCCCCAUUUACGCACGCACGACUGCCAUCCUUACUUUACGAGCACCUUCUGUUCUCCCUCGGCGGGGCAACCUGCCGUUGGAACCGAAUAAACUCUUUUUGCAUCUAGCAUUACCUGUUCCGAAACAAACAAUCGUUACAACUUUCAACAAUGGAUCUCUUGGCUCUGGCAUCGAUGAAGAACGCAGCGAAAUGCGAUAAGUAGUGUGAAUUGCAGAAUUCAGUGAAUCAUCGAAUCUUUGAACGCACAUUGCGCCCCUCGGUAUUCCGUGGGGCAUGCCUGUUCGAGCGUCAUCUACACCCUCAAGCUCUGCUUGGUGUUGGGCGUCUGUCCCGCCUCCGCGCGUGGACUCGCCCCAAAUUCAUUGGCAGCGGUCCUUGCCUCCUCUCGCGCAGCACAUUGCGCUUCUCGAGGGGCUACGGCUCGCGUCCAACAAGCACAUUUACCGUCUUUGACCUCGGAUCAGGUAGGGAUACCCGCUGAACUUAAGCAUAU